UGGGGAAUCUUGCGCAAUGGACGAAAGUCUGACGCAGCGACGCCGCGUGGGGGAUGAAGGUUUUCGGAUCGUAAACCCCUGUUGCCCGGGACGAACUUCCUCUUUCGAGAGGAUUGACGGUACCGGGUGAGGAAGCACCGGCUAACUCUGUGCCAGCAGCCGCGGUAAUACAGAGGGUGCGAGCGUUGUCCGGAAUCACUGGGCGUAAAGGGCGCGUAGGUGGCGCUGCAAGUCGGUGGUGAAAGCUCGAUGCUUAACAUCGAGUCGGCCAUCGAAACUGCAGGGCUCGAGCACUGUAGGGGCAGAUGGAAUUCCGGGUGUAGCGGUGGAAUGCGUAGAGAUCCGGAAGAACACCGGUGGCGAAGGCGGUCUGCUGGGCAGUUGCUGACACUGAGGCGCGACAGCGUGGGGAGCAAACAG
rnacentral:rRNA from 1 species